GAAGAGAGAGUUCAAGAGUACGUGAAACUGCUUAGAGGUAAACGGGUGGGCCCUCGAAAUCCUGUGGCGGGAGCAUUCAGUUGGAGCGUCUGCGGCGCUGGCCGGGAGAGUAAGCGAAGGUUCCCGUGACGGGGCCGUCCUGGCUUGCGAUCCGUGGCGAUCCGACGCAUUUGUUUUCCGUCCGAUAGGACGCCGCAACCGGUUGGGAGACGGCCUUAAGGGCGAGAACCGGCAGGUGGCCGGCGGCGGUGACUUAUUUCCCGGCGCCGGUUGUUAGCCUUCUCGUCGCACGGCCCGUUUUCCGACCGUGGCAAAAGAGAGGCCUUGUUGGGCUUCGACGUCUCCUCCCUUUACCGGUGUGGCGGGUGAAGAAGCGCGGCAGGAGUUCAAGACGAGGUGUGGGCGCACGGACUGACUCCGUGGCCAUUCGCCCUCUUGUCUCUGUUGGCUGCGCAAGUCCCGUGGGAGUGAUUGACGGUUGGCGGCGAGUAGAUCGGUCACCCACCCGACCCGUCUUGAAACACGGACCAAGGAGUAUAACAUGUGUGCGAGUCAAUGGGUCUUGAAUAAGCCCAGAGGCGCAAUGAAAGUUAAGGCCGGAGGACUCCGGCCGUGUCGGGACCCUGGUCCUUGUGAUCGGGGCGCACCGGCGACCCGCCCCUAUCCGCUCGCGGGUGAGGCGGAGUCUGAGCACACACGUUGUGACCCGAAAGAUGGUGAACUAUGCCCGGACAGGACGAGGCCAGAGGAAACUCUGGUGGAGGU
rnacentral:rRNA from 1 species